CAACCUCAACUCAUAUGGGACUACCCCCUGAAUUUAAGCAUAUUAAUUAGGGAGGAAAGAAACUAACAAGGAUUUCUUAGUAGCGGCGAGCGAAAAGAAAACAGUUCAGCACUAAGUCACUUUGUCUAUAUGGCAAAAUGUGAGAUGCAGUGUAUGGAGCGUCAAUAUUCUAGUAUGAGAAAUUAAUGAUUUAAGUCCUUCUAAAUGAGGCCAUUUACCCAUAGAGGGUGCCAGGCCCGUAUAACGUUAAUGAUUACUAGAUGAUUUUCCAAAGAGUCGUGUUGCUUGAUAGUGCAGCACUAAGUGGGUGGUAAACUCCAUCUAAAACUAAAUAUAACCAUGAGACCGAUAGUAAACAAGUACCGUGAGGGAAAGUUUGAAAAGAACUCUGAAUAGAGAGUUAAACAGUACGUGAAACUGCUUAGAGGUUAAGCCCGAUGAACCUGAAUAUCCGUUAUGGGAAAAUUCAUCAUUAAAAUUGUAAUAUUUAAAUAAUAUAUUAAGAAUAAUGUGCAUUUUUCCAUAUAAGGACAUUGUAAUCUAUUAGCAUAUCCCAAAUUUAUCAUAAAAUAUAACUUAUAGUUAUUCCAAUUAAAUGCUUGCAUUUUAACACAGAAUAAAUGUUAUUAAUUUGAUAAAGUGCUGAUAGAUUUAUAUUAUUACAGAGCGUUAAUUUUCGGAAUUAUAUAAUGGCAUAAUUAUCAUUGAUUUUUGUGUUUAUUAUAUGCUCUUGUAUGAUUAACAAUGCGAAAGAUUCAGGAUACCUUCGGGACCCGUCUUGAAACACGGACCAAGGAGUCUAACAUAUGUGCAAGUUAUUGGGAUGUAAACCUAAUAGCGUAAUUAACUUGACUAAUAAUGGAUUAGUUUUUUAGCUAUUUAUAGCUAAUUAACACAAUCCCGGGGCGUUCUAUAUAGUUAUGUAAAGUAUAUUUAUAUUAUUUAUGCCUCUAACUGGAACGUACCUUGAGCAUAUAUGCUGUGACCCGAAAGAUGGUGAACUAUACUUGAUCAGGUUGAAGUCAGGGAAACCCUGAUGGAAGACCGAAACAGUUCUGACGUGCAAAUCGAUUGUCAGAAUUGAGUAUAGGGGCGAAAGACCAAUCGAACCAUCUAGUAGCUGGUUCCUUCCGAAGUUUUCCCUCAGGAUAGCUGGUGCAUUUUAAUAUUAUAUAAAAUAAUCUUAUCUGGUAAAGCGAAUGAUUAGAGGCCUUAGGUCGAAACGAUCUUAACCUAUUCUCAAACUUUAAAUGGGUAAGAACCUUAACUUUCUUGAUAUGAAGUUCAAGGUUAUGAUAUAAUGGCCCAGUGGGCCACUUUUGGUAAGCAGAACUGGCGCUGUGGGAUGAACCAAACGUAAUGUUACGUGCCCAAAUUAACAACUCAUGCAGAUACCAUGAAAGGCGUUGGUUGCUUAAAACAGCAGGACGGUGAUCAUGGAAGUCGAAAUCCGCUAAGGAGUGUGUAACAACUCACCUGCCGAAGCAACUAGCCCUUAAAAUGGAUGGCGCUUAAGUGUAUACCUAUACAUUACCGCUAAAGUAGAUGAUUUAUUACUUGUGAUAUAAAUUUUGAAACUUUAGUGAGUAGGAAGGUUACAAUGGUAUGCGUAGAAGUGUUUGGCGUAAGCCUGCAUGGAGCUGCCAUUGGUACAGAUCUUGGUGGUAGUAGCAAAUAAUCGAAUGAGACCUUGGAGGACUGAAGUGGAGAAGGGUUUCGUGUGAACAGUGGUUGAUCACGAGUUAGUCGGUCCUAAGUUCAAGGCGAAAGCCGAAAAUUUUCAAGUAAAACAAAAAUGCCUAACUAUAUAAACAAAGCGAAUAUAAUACACUUGAAUAAUUUUGAACGAAAGGGAAUACGGUUCCAAUUCCGUAACCUGUUGAGUAUCCGUUUGUUAUUAAAUAUGGGCCUCGUGCUCAUCCUGGCAACAGGAACGACCAUAAAGAAGCCGUCGAGAGAUAUCGGAAGAGUUUUCUUUUCUGUUUUAUAGCCGUACUACCAUGGAAGUCUUUCGCAGAGAGAUAUGGUAGAUGGGCUAGAAGAGCAUGACAUAUACUGUUGUGUCGAUAUUUUCUCCUCGGACCUUGAAAAUUUAUGGUGGGGACACGCAAACUUCUCAACAGGCCGUACCAAUAUCCGCAGCUGGUCUCCAAGGUGAAGAGUCUCUAGUCGAUAGAAUAAUGUAGGUAAGGGAAGUCGGCAAAUUAGAUCCGUAACUUCGGGAUAAGGAUUGGCUCUGAAGAUUGAGAUAGUCGGGCUUGAUUGGGAAACAAUAACAUGGUUUAUGUGCUCGUUCUGGGUAAAUAGAGUUUCUAGCAUUUAUGUUAGUUACUUGUUCCCCGGAUAGUUUAGUUACGUAGCCAAUUGUGGAACUUUCUUGCUAAAAUUUUUAAGAAUACUAUUUGGGUUAAACCAAUUAGUUCUUAUCAAUUAUAACGAUUAUCAAUUAACAAUCAAUUCAGAACUGGCACGGACUUGGGGAAUCCGACUGUCUAAUUAAAACAAAGCAUUGUGAUGGCCCUAGCGGGUGUUGACACAAUGUGAUUUCUGCCCAGUGCUCUGAAUGUCCUUAGUGGGGUCUAGGGAGACCUAACCAGAUGUUACCGACAAAGGGGCUUGGAGUAAAUCAUGGUUGUUUGGGGCUUUAGGUUAAUUGAGGUUCCCCGGGAGGCGGCUUUGUAAGCACGCCGUUUGUCUUGCAAAUUAUUAAAAUUUAUUUGGGGCCAACGGAAACUUUACAGGCAAUUUAACUGGACACAAAAGGCAUGGUUUGAACUUGUGUCCCGCUGGCAGACCAGGUGUAACCUUAGAAGAAGGGCGCGCACCGGGGCAAUGCAACUUAGGGGGUAGCCAAAUGCCUCGUCAUCUAAUUAGUGACGCAUGAAUGGAUUAACGAGAUUCCUACUGUCCCUAUCUACUAUCUAGCGAAACCACAGCCAAGGGAACGGGCUUGGAAUAAUUAGCGGGGAAAGAAGACCCUUUUGAGCUUGACUCUAAUCUGGCAGUGUAAGGAGACAUAAGAGGUGUAGAAUAAGUGGGAGAUAUUAGACCUCGGUUGGUAUCGUCAAUGAAAUACCACUACUCUUAUUGUUUCCUUACUUACUUGAUUAAAUGGAACGUGUAUCAUUUCCUAGCCAUUAUACGGAUAUAUUUAUUAUAUCUUAUGUAUUGGGUUUUGAUGCAAGCUUCUUGAUCAAAGUAUCACGAGUUUGUUAUAUAAUCGCAAACAAAUUCUUUAAUAAAACGAUGCAUUUAUGUAUUUUUGAUUUGAAAAUUUGGUAUAACUCCAAUUACUCAGGUAUGAUCCAAUUCAAGGACAUUGCCAGGUAGGGAGUUUGACUGGGGCGGUACAUCUCUCAAAUAAUAACGGAGGUGUCCCAAGGCCAGCUCAGUGCGGACAGAAACCACACAUAGAGCAAAAGGGCAAAUGCUGACUUGAUCUCGGUGUUCAGUACACACAGGGACAGCAAAAGCUCGGCCUAUCGAUCCUUUUGGUUUAAAGAGUUUUUAACAAGAGGUGUCAGAAAAGUUACCAUAGGGAUAACUGGCUUGUGGCGGCCAAGCGUUCAUAGCGACGUCGCUUUUUGAUCCUUCGAUGUCGGCUCUUCCUAUCAUUGUGAAGCAAAAUUCACCAAGCGUUGGAUUGUUCACCCAUGCAAGGGAACGUGAGCUGGGUUUAGACCGUCGUGAGACAGGUUAGUUUUACCCUACUAAUGAAAACGUUGUUGCGACAGCAUUCCUGCGUAGUACGAGAGGAACCGCAGGUACGGACCAAUGGCACAAUACUUGUUCGAGCGAACAGUGGUAUGACGCUACGUCCGUUGGAUUAUGCCUGAACGCCUCUAAGGUCGUAUCCGUGCUGGACUGCAAUGAUAAAUAAGGGGCAAUUUGCAUUGUAUGGCUUCUAAACCAUUUAAAGUUUAUAAUUUAUUUUAUAAACGACAAUGGAUGUGAUGCCAAUGUAAUUUGUAACAUAGUAAAUUAGGAGGAUCUUCGAUCACCUGAUGCCGCGCUAGUUACAUAUAAAAGCAUUAUUUAAUACAAUGACAAAGCCUAGAAUCAAUUGUAAACGACUUUUGUAACAGGCAAGGUGUUGUAAGUGGUUGAGCAGCUGCCAUACUGCGAUCCACUGAAGCUUAUCCUUUGCUUGAUGAUUCGA